GACGAACGCUGGCGGCGUGCUUAACACAUGCAAGUCGAACGGAAAGGCCCUGCUUUUGUGGGUUUCUCGAGUGGCGAACGGGUGAGUAACACGUGAGUAACCUGCCCUUGACUUUGGGAUAACUUCAGGAAACUGGGGCUAAUACCGGAUAUGAGCUCCUGCUGCAUGGUGGGGGUUGGAAAGUUUCGGCGGUUGGGGAUGGACUCGCGGCUUAUCAGCUUGUUUGUGAGGUAGUGGCUUACCAAGGCUGUGACGGAUAGCCGGCCUGGGAGGGUGACCGGCGACAUUAGGACUAAGAUAGGACCCAGACGCAAAGGGGAGGCAACAGUGGAGAAUAUUGCGCAGUAGGCAAAAGACAGAUACAACAACGCCGAGUGAGGAAUGAAGGACUUCGGGUUGAAAACCGAUUUCGACUGUGACGAAGAGUGAGUGACGGUAAUGGAUAAAGAAGCACCGGCUAACUACGUG
rnacentral:rRNA from 1 species